UUAACUCAUACCAUAAUCCAGUAAGGUGCUAUUAGUUCAGCAAGAUGCAUAUUAUUUCCCCAAAGUGAAUUUGUUAGGUUAGCACAAAUGUCUACUUACAAAGGUAAAUUCACUAAUAUUAGCAAUAGAAAACAAUAACCUGGUGAUUGGAGGCCCAUUUUCAUAGUGUUAUUGGAGACUGAAUGACAUUUCCAUUCUGUCUCAUUCACUUUAACAGAAGUCAAUUUUAAUGCGACAGGCCCGAGUUGCAUUUUCUGUAGUCACUUGCUGACACUGAGCAUAGGGAAGGUUUUUACUCUAGAAAGGAUUAUUUUUACUCUAUGUCUGAAUUUC
rnacentral:lncRNA from 1 species